UACGAAGGGGGCUAGCGUUGCUCGGAAUCACUGGGCGUAAAGGUGCGUAGGCGGGUUUUUUAAGCAGGGGUGAAAUCCUGGAGCUCAACUCCAGAACUGCCUUUGAUACUGAAGAUCUUGAGUUCGGGAGAGGUGAGUGGAACUGCGAGUGUAGAGGUGAAAUUCGUAGAUAUUCGCAAGAACACCAGUGGCGAAGGCGGCUCACUGGCCCGAUACUGACGCUGAGGCACGAAAGCGUGGGGAGCAAAC
rnacentral:rRNA from 1 species